AAAUAAAAUGAGGAUGAACAAGUUAGAAGAGGAAACUGCACAGUAUAGGAUUUGUUUUGUACAUAACUGGUAUGGAUGUAGAACAGGAAGCGUGACACUGAAUUGCCUUGAUGACAGAAAGGCGUGUCAUUAAAUGGCAGUCAGUUUGGACCUUUUGUUUUUUGUCCCUCUUGGCUAUAAGAGCCAGUGCAGGAAACACUCUUGAGCAGGUUUAGACUCGCCGGUGUUCCUCAAGUCCAAUACAACACGUCUUUUCAUUUGAAUUAUUGACAUUUGCUUUAAGUUGCUGGCUUUGCAGCUGCACAUUAAAAAGAUGCUUUGUCCAGAAUGUUCCCAAGUUUCAUCCCGGCUGGAUAAGCGGGUUUCCAGAUGGAUGCCACUCUGCCACACUCCACUACAUGUUGGUGCUCCUUGCUGCUGGGUGUGUGAAGUCUGAGUGCUGUGCCAAUGCAAAGGUGAUCAUGCUGGGCUGCAGGCACUGGAGCAUGUGAGUGCCAAGCAGAGGACAGCUGCCAAAAUCAACACAAGGAAUAGGAAACAAUGGCAUGGAUUACACAGCUCUGAUGAAUGAGAUGCAGAAAAGGAGGUCUGGCUUAUUUGAUGCAAGAUUAGUGAUUUGUCUUUUUAUACCUAACAUUUAAAAAAGAAAUGCAAAGAGGAAGUAGCUUCAGUCUCAUUUUUGUUCUGUCCCUUUACCUUGUAUCAUGUUUUUCACUGCAUUUAAUAAUUUAAGUGCAAAUAAAUGUCCACUAUUCUUUCAGA